AGAGUUUGAUCAUGGCUCAGAUUGAACGCUGGCGGCAGGCUUAACACAUGCAAGUCGAGCGGGGAAGGGUAGCUUGCUACCUGACCUAGCGGCGGACGGGUGAGUAAUGCUUAGGAAUCUGCCUAUUAGUGGGGGACAACAUUCCGAAAGGAAUGCUAAUACCGCAUACGCCCUACGGGGGAAAGCAGGGGAUCUUCGGACCUUGCGCUAAUAGAUGAGCCUAAGUCAGAUUAGCUAGUUGGUGGGGUAAAGGCCUACCAAGGCGACGAUCUGUAGCGGGUCUGAGAGGAUGAUCCGCCACACUGGGACUGAGACACGGCCCAGACUCCUACGGGAGGCAGCAGUGGGGAAUAUUGGACAAUGGGCGCAAGCCUGAUCCAGCCAUGCCGCGUGUGUGAAGAAGGCCUUUUGGUUGUAAAGCACUUUAAGCGAGGAGGAGGCUACUUGGAUUAAUACUCUAGGAUAGUGGACGUUACUCGCAGAAUAAGCACCGGCUAACUCUGUGCCAGCAGCCGCGGUAAUACAGAGGGUGCGAGCGUUAAUCGGAUUUACUGGGCGUAAAGCGUGCGUAGGCGGCUUUUUAAGUCGGAUGUGAAAUCCCUGAGCUUAACUUAGGAAUUGCAUUCGAUACUGGGAAGCUAGAGUAUGGGAGAGGAUGGUAGAAUUCCAGGUGUAGCGGUGAAAUGCGUAGAGAUCUGGAGGAAUACCGAUGGCGAAGGCAGCCAUCUGGCCUAAUACUGACGCUGAGGUACGAAAGCAUGGGGAGCAAACAGGAUUAGAUACCCUGGUAGUCCAUGCCGUAAACGAUGUCUACUAGCCGUUGGGGCCUUUGAGGCUUUAGUGGCGCAGCUAACGCGAUAAGUAGACCGCCUGGGGAGUACGGUCGCAAGACUAAAACUCAAAUGAAUUGACGGGGGCCCGCACAAGCGGUGGAGCAUGUGGUUUAAUUC
rnacentral:rRNA from 1 species